ensembl:lncRNA
GUGCUGAAGGGCGCAUGGGGUCAGUGGGACUGAGCAUUGCAGCUCUGUCCAUGGUACCGCGGGAGGGGGGGCUGCAGCUUUCCUUGGCUCCUCCAUCUGCUUUUCCAGAUCCUUCACUGCAGGAUUGCAGAACCUUUGCUCGAUGUCUUCAGGAAGGUGUGGUGAGAAGUGCUCGAUGGUAAUCCAGAAGACAACAGAAGGGCUGAGGAGGCCCUCCUUGGGGCAGCUCUCCUUGCAUGGGACAGAGAAUGUGGCAUCUUGAUUGGCAGUGCUGAGUGGUGGGAAGGAGCAUGCAAAUGGUGUUUGCCAAUAAAUCAGCCCCAGAUUACUCCAGAUGAUGAUAAGUGACAGAAAAACGGAGACCCUUAAGGAAAGACUGAAAAAGGAACGUGGGGAUCUCAAACAAGAGGUCUCACUGCUUCUUCUGAAGGAUCUUAGUUUCUUCUUUUUAAAUGAGGCUUUGCUCCUUAAGCACCAAGUGCUUGCCAUUGGACUGCCAGAGAUGCUGAUUGCUGUUCUGCACUCCCUAUCCAGAAGCUGGUGUCGUCCUGGGGCUGAACCUUCCCCUAUAGGCAGAUGUCUAUGAAGCAGAAAGUCAUGAAGUCUGUGCAGACAAAGGGAUCUAUGCUGGUCCUGGGUGAGAUCACAUAGUUCCAGUGUGUAGAUAUGGUUGUCCAGGUAUGUGCAUAUAAAGUAAUAUGAAUGCAUUACAAUGCAAAAUAAAAUAGAAGUGCAGCAUAACACAGAGUGAAUGUUCCUACUUAUAUCCCAG